AGGCUCCUUGAUGUGGAUGUAAUAGUUUAAUGGCACAAGGUGACCUCAGAAGGACUACCAAAGUUUUCAUCCCUAUUAAUACACUAAAGGAAGGAUAGCUGGGAAAACAGUCAAAAAAGGUGAAGAGUGAGGAAGCCAAUGUGCCAGCCAAGCUUCACAUUGUCAGUGCUCGGCUGAGGAAAUAUACUUGCUCCUGGACAAGACAGCUUUAUAAAUGCCAAAGAUGUGACUCUCCAGUCUGUGAAAACAAUCAACUGUAAUCUGCCAGUGCUGGUUUGUGUCCUGAGACCCGUAAGAGGUGAUCAU